UAUUGUUUUGUUUUAGUGAAAGAGGGAGACAGAGAGGUAAAAGGAGAGAGAGAAUUUAAGCAGACUCCAAGCCAAGCGUGGAGCCCGAAAGGAGAUUCAAAUCCACAACCCUGGGAUCAUGACCUGAGCCAAAAUCAAGGAUGUACCUUUCCGAAGUUAUAAAGUCAAUUUGAUUUUUCCUGAAUAAUCAUGUCACACCCUGAGGUGAUGAAAGAGGAUUCUAGGCCCCAGCUGCUUUCCUGUAUU